GAAGGGGAAGAGCAGUUCCCAAGUCCAGUUCCCAAGCUGAAAGGUGUCUGUUUGGAAGGAAGGGUACCCCAAGAAGAGACAUGGUGUCCAAGAGAUGGGAUGGAGACAGAGCAUCAGACUCAUAAAAGAGCAGAGCAGACUCAAGUACAGCUAUGCCUUUUCCUGAAGAUGUCUGCUCAAUGGCAAGAUCUAUUUAGCUGGAAUGAGUAAAAUAAACUUGAAUAACUUUAAAAAAAAGGAAAAAAAGAAAAAAGAAUGGCUUUCUCCUUACAGAAAAACUUGGUCUUUUUAUGCUCAGAUAAUUAAUAUCCUCACAAGCCUUCUUGUGCUUUGAGGAUUUAUGAAUUUAUUUAUUCAGAAGGUCCCCUACCCACUAAAAUCCCAGUGUGACUUUGCAUAUCUGAGUAGUUCUACCAUUAUCAGCAAGAUUACUCACCGUCUGAGAAGCUGCAUGUGUACUUUGCUGAAGGAGAGCUCAGGGGUCUGAUCUGUGACAAUCAAGCAGUGUCUGGGCUACUGGCUGAACAUCACCUGCAAGGAUUUGGUCCUUUUCAGAGUCAUGACCCAGGAAAGACCAGCAAAUAUUCAUCUCCAGCUAAUGUGGAAGAGGGAAGGCUCAAGGCUGAGGACUGAGUCUACUAACUGCAAACCUAAAAUGUAAUCUCUGAGUUUCUAAAUGCCUAUAGAUAUUGAAUUUAUUUCAUUGGUUCCAGAAAAAACAUUACCACCUCUGCUACACAGAAACAGGCAGACAAAACUUUGGUUUUUUUAUUUGAUUAUGAACCUUGAAGCCAGAAGACAGGCAGAACUUUGUUGGGGAUUUUGAAAUUAAGACUGGGAAAAAAAAUCCUUCUUCUGAAUUGUUGUAUAUAUAAAAAACCCAACACAUAAUACCUUGUGGUCCCUAUCUACCCUGAGAUUUGGAGAUUUUUAAGCUGCUUCCCCUAGAGCUCUAGGAUUUCUGCCACUAUUUCUGAAUGCUCUCAACAGUGAUACUAAGCUUUCUUGAACAAGGAAAUUGGUGGCAAUUCUAUAGCUUCCACUCACUCCUAUAAUUUAAAAAAAAAUGUUGAGGGAAACUCUCAUUGCAUUUUAAAGAUUUAAAAUGGGUCAGCUUUUGGCCUAUAUGGAUUGAUGGAGCCCUUUAAAUAGGCUCUAGCCAUGGACCGUUAUUAAUCACUGUAGCAGACAAAAAAUACAUUGUUUCCUUGCUGAGAAUAGCAUGUUUUCCUUUGCUUAUGAAUUGAUCCCUGAAAGGUUCCUCACGGGAAUAUGUUUGUUCUUUCUUUCUUUGCUUCUUUCUUUCCUUCUAAGGCACAAUGGCUUUAAACUACAGAUGUGCUAAUCUGUAGGAAACUCCAGAACUCAUUGAUCCAUGGGCAGCAUAGGUAUUAAUCUACCUGGGCCGGGAGACCAGAAGAAUGAACGAUUAAUUAAAUAGCCUUGAGGUUAUUUUUCAAAACAGCAUUGUAAGCAGUGAUGGGCAAACCUCAAAAGGUUUUUAUACUGGAUUCAGUUCAGAUCAACUUCCUAAAUUUCAUAGACUGAUCUGCUCUUUGGAAGCAUACCCAGGAGGAAAAAAAUACCUGCAGGGUAAUGGCUGUCAUAAUUGCUAUGUGACCUACAGUCCUAGAGGUCUAUCCCAAUGUGAAAGCUAUAUGCAUCACAUUUUCAGCAGGAGAUACACGAGAGCAGAGACUCACUGUGCGUAGGAGCGAGGACACAAAGACAACUGGGUGGGAUGGAGGCUGGCACACGGUCAUCUGUUUUGGUUUAAAGUGAGGAUGGACAGAUAUUGAAAUGCCCAACUUAUUGUACCUAGGUGCCAAAGGAGAUGAUGGAAAUGUCAAAAGUAACCUCUUAAUCUGACCAGACUGUAACUAGGAGAUUUAAGAUUUGAAAACUGCGCAGAAUGAAUUUGACUACACAGAGAGACUCGGAAACUCUAUCUCCAUUCUCCAGCAACUCUCUGAGUAAUGUCUCAGAGAGAAGGAAAUGCGGUGCCCCAUUUUGGAGGAUAUGUUUUCCUGGCUAACAGCAGCACAUUGCAGUUUCCUCUGGAGAUGCAGCACAUCCCAGGAGCAGCUCCCUGUACUAGACCCCUUUCAGACUACUCAAAACCACGCAUCAAGGCAGUUUCAACUAAAUUCGGUACAAGAUAAUCUUCUACAAAGAGUUUUGAAAUGCUUUGGCACUGCAAGCGGUACAUAAAAGCCAUUGGAAUGAAGUCUACAAAGAAGGUUUAUCAUAAUUCUUUCUAGGAACAAUUAUGGCAAUUAGAUACACUGAUACUUUUGUAUCUUUAAAACCACAAUACUUGGAGAGAAAUGAUUAGAAGGAGUUUCUUACUGGAAAUAGAUCUAAAACUCUGGUUUUGAUGACAUUCUUAGCAAAACAUUUGUGCAAUAAGCAAGAUAAUGAUGACAGAU